rnacentral:rRNA from 1 species
UACGUAGGGGGCUAGCGUUGUCCGGAAUCAUUGGGCGUAAAGCGCGUGUAGGCGGUCCGGUAAGUCCGCUGUGAAAGUCGGGGGCUCAACCCUCGAAUGCCGGUGGAUACUGUCGGGCUAGAGUGCGGAAGAGGCGAGUGGAAUUCCUGGUGUAGCGGUGAAAUGCGCAGAUAUCAGGAGGAACACCAACGGCGAAGGCAGCUCUCUGGGACGUUACUGACGCUGAGGCACGAAAGUGUGGGGAUCAAACAGG